rnacentral:lncRNA from 1 species
AGCCGGAGCCUGCCUCGCCUGGCUCCUGCGCCCGCCGUCCAGGGCCCCUGUCCAAGCUCGCGGACGCCGGCGGCGUUUUCCAGCUCGAGUGCUCAGCCUAGGGCAGGCUCUGCGUGCGCCCCCUCGAGUGCCGGCCUGGGCCCUGCCAGGCAGAGGCGCUCUUGCGUCAGGACGGCGCCGCCGGGGCCCCGCGAUUCCAACUCGGGGGUCCCGGAGCGGCGCGGGGCGGGGACGGCCUGGCAGCUCCCAGCAGCGAGGGGCGAUCCCCGCCCGCGCAGCAGACCCCGAGCUGCCCAGGCCCUUCCUGCGCCACGUGUACCCAGAGCUCCGCCCGGGGGAGACUUCGCUGCUUGUUGGAGAUGCCCAGCGGUAGGGGGCGAGGACUCGGGAGGAAGAUAAACGGGGGAUCCCGUGUCUGGACUUUCUCCUCCACCCUCUUCCCUUCGCAGCUGUGAAUCCUGGGAGGGGAAGGGUGGCCGCCCCGCCAGCAGGGUCGAGCCCGCUCUCAUUUGCACCUCCGCGCGAAUUUGGAACGGAUUUAUGAAUCGUCCUCACUGCGGUGCUGUCUUCUCCUGGGAAGGAGCCUCAGUCCUCCCCUCCCUGGGCACUGUCAUAGAGAUGGGCAGGACGGGCUGGGGAGGACACUCAGGGAGCUGCCCAGGCUCCUUUGCUGCCCCUCACCCCAGAAUCUUCUUGGGGUGGGUGGGGUCCCAGGCACCUGCAGAGUAGCAUACGGUGGCUUGUAGAAAGAGUAUCGAGGGAGGGGAGGUGCCACGUGGAAACAGCCCAAGCCAAACCCCUAGGACCUGUCUCCCUGUCCUCCUAGAGAGCUGAAGGUGUUCCGUGGUCAGUGAGGGCUGGCACUGGCUCUGCACGAAGAUCUCCUCACCUCCCCAGCGGCUCCUGGCCAGCUCCCCACGGAGAGCCCAGGACACUUGUCCCUGGACACAGUGGUGCAGCCAUGCUUGGGCCAAACCAUGAGGCCACCAGAACCGCGAAAGGCUACUGUACUGAGAGGGAUACUGCGAGAGAGGCCCACAGGUUUCCAAGCAUCCCUCUCACUCCGCACACUCAUCUCCACGACCGGCUUUAAGUGCGGCCUUGAGGCCUGGCUCCCUGUUUGGACUUCUCUGCACCUCCAGGAGCUCACUUCCCGUCACAGCUGGAUGCCUCCUCCCGCAGGCACCUCCCGGGCAUCCUCCCGCCCCAGGCUGCACCUUCUGUGGGACUGGCCC